rnacentral:rRNA from 1 species
UUACGGUCAAAUCACGUAUGAAACACCGGUUCUCGUUCGAUCACCGAAGUUAAGCAUCGUAGAGCCAGGUCAGUACUUAGAUGGGGGACCGCUUGGGAACACCUGGUACUGUAAG